GUAAGGACGCGUAGGCGGGAAGCCAAGUCUGAUGUGAAAUCCUAUGGAUAACCAUAGAACUGCAUUGGAAACUGGUUACCUAGAGUAUGGGAGGGGGAGAUGGAAUUAGUGGUGUAGGGGUAAAAUCCGUAGAUAUCACUAGGAAUACCGAAAGCGAAGGCGAUCUCCUGGAACAAUACUGACGCUAAGGCGUGAAAGCGUGGGGAGCAAACGGGAUUAGAUACCCCGGUAGUCCACGCCCUAAACGAUGUUCACUAGUCGUCGGAAUGCUAGUCAUUUCGGUGAUGCACUUAACAGAUUAAGUGAACCGCCUGGGGAGUACGGUCGCAAGAUUAAAACUCAAAGGAAUAGACGGGGACCCGCACAAGUGGUGGAGCAUGUGGUUUAAUUCGAAGAUACGCGAAGAACCUUACCUAGCCUUGACAUUGAAGAAACACUUUAGAGAUAGAGUGGUGCCCUUCGGGGAAUCUGAAAACAGGUGCUGCACGGCUGUCGUCAGCUCGUGUCGUGAGAUGUUGGGUUAAGUCCCGCAACGAGCGCAACCCUCGUCCUUAGUUGCCAGCAGGUUAAGCUGGGCACUUUAAGGAGACUGCCUUCGCAAGGAGGAGGAAGGUGAGGACGACGUCAAGUCAUCAUGGCCCUUAUGGCUAGGGCUACACACGUGCUACAAUGGGGCGUACAGAGAGUUGCGAUACCGCGAGGUGGAGCCAAUCUCAUAAAGCGUCUCUCAGUUCGGAUUGGAGUCUGCAACUCGACUCCAUGAAGCUGGAAUCACUAGUAAUCGUAGAUCAGCAAUGCUACGGUGAAUACGUU
rnacentral:rRNA from 1 species